rnacentral:misc_RNA from 1 species
GAAAUGCGAUAAGUAAUGUGAAUUGUAGAAUUCAGUGAAUCAUCGAAUCUUUGAACGCACCUUGCGCUCCUUGGUAUUCCUUGGAGCAUGCCUGUUUGAGUAUCAUGAAAUCUUCAAAGUAAAUCUUUUGUUAACUCAAUUGGUUUCUACUUUGGUAUUGGAGGUCUUUGCAGCUUCACACCUGCUCCUCUUUGUUCAUUAGCUGGAUCUCAGUGUUAUGCUUGGUUCCACUCGGCGUGAUAAGUUAUCUAUCGCUGAGGACACUGUAAAAGGUGGCCAAGGUAAAUGCAGAUGAACCGCUUCUAAUAGUCCAUUGACUUUGACAAUACUUUUAUGAUCUGAUCUCAAAUCAGGUAGGACUACCCGCUGAACUUAAGC